GAUGAAGAACGUAGCGAAAUGCGAUAAGUAAUGUGAAUUGCAGAAUUCAGUGAAUCAUCGAAUCUUUGAACGCACAUUGCGCCCCCUGGUAUUCCGGGGGGCAUGCCUGUUCGAGCGUCAUUUCACCACUCAAGCCUCGCUUGGUAUUGGGCAACGCGGUCCGCCGCGUGCCUCAAAUCGACCGGCUGGGUCUUCUGUCCCCUAAGCGUUGUGGAAAUUAUUCGCUAAAGGGUGUUCGGGAGGCUACGCCGUAAAACAACCCCAUUUCUAAGGUUGACCUCGGAUCAGGUAGGGAUACCCGCUGAACUUAAGCAUAUCAAUAAGCGGAGGA
rnacentral:misc_RNA from 1 species